CAACACCUCACACUCCAGCAGCCAUCUCGUCCAGCCAUACUGCAGAGCAUGGAUUCCACCAGCACACUCCACCUGUGGCUGUUCUGCCUUCUGCUCAGUGCUGCAGCCCCAAAACCCACCUGUGACCCCAGUGCCUGCCCAGCCUGCCCCGAGCAAGGACCUGGGGGCUGCUGCCCAUCAUGCACGCCAGCCUGUGCCUGCCCACCCUACCUGCAGGACGACUGCGAGAUGCAAGGCUUCAGUGAUGGACGUCUCUGCACCUGCCCUCCCCAGGGCGGCCAACUGCAGUGCGGUGAUGGGGGUGAGGCAUGAGCUGCUCCAAGGGCAGUGGGACUGGAGGCUUGCAGGGAGCGGGAGGCCUUCUGCUCCUUCAGGCCUCUUCACUGGAAUGCAUUCAAGGCCUCAAACUGUCCCAUCGUGUGGGGAGAUGCUGUGCUGUUGCGUCUAAGCAUCUUCUUGCUGGCAAGAUUUCUUGCCUGGUGGUGGGCAGAGAGGUUGGGUUGGUUGCUGAUGGCAUUGCAACGAACCAAAGUGCAGUUAUUUAUUUAUUUGUGAGUUGAUUGUGCUUUUGUGCGUGUCUACGUUUAUAUAGUGUGUGGAUAAGUGUGUCUUAAGUAAGUCAACAGAUUGGAGACGAGCUCUGCCCUUCCCGCUGCUGGAGACAGUAGAAUGUGCACUCUGAGUGCUCUGGAGUGUGCAUUUGUAUAUGUUUAUAUCCUUAUAUAUAUAUAUAUGCAGGGAGUCUGUAAUCAAACACAGCUCCAUCAGGCUGAUGCGUUAACAAAUGUCAGAUAUGUUCA
ensembl:lncRNA